AUUGAACGCUGGCGGCAGGCUUAACACAUGCAAGUCGAGCGGUAGCACAGGGGAGCUUGCUCCCUGGGUGACGAGCGGCGGACGGGUGAGUAAUGUCUGGGAAACUGCCUGAUGGAGGGGGAUAACUACUGGAAACGGUAGCUAAUACCGCAUAACGUCGCAAGACCAAAGAGGGGGACCUUCGGGCCUCUUGCCAUCAGAUGUGCCCAGAUGGGAUUAGCUAGUAGGUGGGGUAAUGGCUCACCUAGGCGACGAUCCCUAGCUGGUCUGAGAGGAUGACCAGCCACACUGGAACUGAGACACGGUCCAGACUCCUACGGGAGGCAGCAGUGGGGAAUAUUGGACAAUGGGCGCAAGCCUGAUGCAGCCAUGCCGCGUGUGUGAAGAAGGCCUUCGGGUUGUAAAGCACUUUCGUCGAGGAGGAAGGUGGUGAGCUUAAUACGUUCAUCAAUUGACGUUACUCGCAGAAGAAGCACCGGCUAACUCCGUG
rnacentral:rRNA from 1 species